UGUUACAGUGACCGUUGAUGACCUUCUUAUGGGUCGAUGUCCAAAGAGUCUAACCCCUUUGAAAUGAGCUAAGGGCCUCCUUUUAUAGGCAAAGGGGUCACCUACAGUGCUCGGUGGUAGGUUCACGAGGAGUUACAGUGAACCUAGGGCGGUGCUUAUCCAUCUACCGCUGUUAGGUGCAUUUAAUGCACGUCUUAUCCUUGUCAACGAUGUGCUGGUGAAGACACGUAUCUAGGUGUUUUGACACCUGGACGCUGCGCUGGCGCAUGCGGAAUGCGCUCGCACUUGGGGGGCGGUGGCACUGUGGCAAGGGCGGUUGCCCACUAGUGGCCA
rnacentral:lncRNA from 1 species